rnacentral:rRNA from 1 species
AUUGAACGCUGGCGGCAGGCCUAACACAUGCAAGUCGAACGGUAACAGGAAGACGCUUGCUUCUUUGCUGACGAGUGGCGGACGGGUGAGUAAUGUCUGGGAAACUGCCUGAUGGAGGGGGAUAACUACUGGAAACGGUAGCUAAUACCGCAUAACGUCGCAAGACCAAAGAGGGGGACCUUCGGGCCUCUUGCCAUCGGAUGUGCCCAGAUGGGAUUAGCUAGUAGGUGGGGUAACGGCUCACCUAGGCGACGAUCCCUAGCUGGUCUGAGAGGAUGACCAGCCACACUGGAACUGAGACACGGUCCAGACUCCUACGGGAGGCAGCAGUGGGGAAUAUUGCACAAUGGGCGCAAGCCUGAUGCAGCCAUGCCGCGUGUACGAAGAAGGCCUUCGGGUUGUAAAGUACUUUCAGCGGGGAGGAAGGGAGUAAAGUUAAUACCUUUGCUCAUUGACGUUACCCGCAGAAGAAGCACCGGCUAACUCCGUG